CCGUCGACUACCGCCCCCAUAGGCGGCGUCUACUCUCUGGGCAUCCUCCUGCUGGAGCUCCUCACUAGCAAGUCCCCGACGCAUGCGUUCCUGCAGAAGGGCGACGGCGGCAUGUCCAGCAUCUGCAGGAGGGCGGCGGCGAAGAGAAAAGGGGGGAGAGGAAGGAGAUGGGAGGCCGUACGGAGAGGUGAGUGUGGUGUGGUCCUGCUGCUGCUGCUCGCCGGCCAUCGGCUAGGUUGGCUUCAGGUGCACGCAGGUGUCAGUGGCAACUUGGGUCGUCCAAUUGACACCUGAAUCGUCAGGUGAAACAAAGCAUGUAUGAACGUGGUCUAUUCUUUUUUUCUUCAUUUGCUAAAAGCUAAUACCCAAUCUUCUCUCAUCUUGUUUUUGAUCGAACUGCACUAGCACUGCACUAUGUCAUUAGGCAAUCCUACUCCAAACUGUAUAUUCUUUGAUGGAUUGACACCUAAUGGGAGAGGAUUCUCAAACUUUGCAUGUGGUUACUUAUCUGAACACUCUUUGCAUGUGGGCUUUGGGUGCACGGAGGUGUCAGGGAUCGAGGAUUCGAGGGAGCUCUCCUCUCUCGCGACUCGAGGCGUUCGGGGGUCAAACGGAAGAGGACGACAUGGUCAAGCUCGGGAGCAGAUGCACUAGAGGAGUCCAUGGUUUUUCCCUGGAGGCUGGCACAUUUAACUUCUGCCCUCUGCUGUCGACCUUCUCUUCUUCAAGCCCCACCCUACCAUCGUCGUACUCCCUGCAGGCAGCUCUGCCCCGAUCUUCUCCUCAAGGUUGCAAGGUAUUUUCUUCUAUUUGAUGUACAUGAUGCAAAGAGAACAACUAAAGGUAAAUGAUGGAUUUCUUUUUUUACACUUGAGAGGAAUGCAUUAGGAAGUAAAGCCUCGUGGUUUGAGUAACAAUCAUGGGAAGAACCCAAGCACGAUUUCCAUCUUUAGUUUAUCAUGGCGACUACUACCAACCAGGCUCUAGCAGAUGUUGCCACCAGAUAUCUAACCGUUCAUUAUCCAUGUUUAUGUGAGGUUUUUAGUACUUGACCAUAUUGUUGGUCUCCUCCCUCAAUACUUCACGAGAAGUAGAGUUUAAGAGGAGAUGCGCAUGAUGCGUGUAGCCGGAGAUACCUUCGGCAUUUAUUGUUUUUGUAAUUUGACUGCGUAUUGCUUUUAUAAAUGUUUAUGUCCCGUGGCAACGCACGGGAUGAUAUGCAACGAAGUGUGGCAAGCGGAGCAGCAUCCACUGCCACCGGGUCAUGAUAUCAGAUAUAUGCUUGAUUUUACUACUUGUUUUGGACAAGUAUCAUGGUAUUCCGUUGGUUUUCUCAUAAGAGAACCCCCGUAAGUUCCUCUCUUUUUUACACCUUUUUAAUUAUUAUGUUAUUAAAAUCGAUGAUCGUUCUCCAGAUUAUACCAUUGAUCUUUUCAUUUCCUUGGACCGUACAAAUCGACCUACAUAGUUUUUUCAUUGUAUUGUAUAUCUAAGAUAUAUUGAAGAUGUAGAUUUUAGAGCUCUAAGCAGAACAAAGGGGAUCCAUCGAUGGAAUCUUUCAGGCCACGAUGUAAACACACAACCAGCUUUCAAGGGAGAUGUCACCGACCUCUACAUAUGACUUGUGGUGGUGAGUCUGCUGUGUAGGGCAGACGUGAUCAUGGAGUGGGUAUAACUGCAGAAAGCACCGCUAGCCAAAGAACCGACCAUCAACGCAGCCCUUGACAACCGUAACCAACAAGGCACUGCGGUGGUUGUGAUGACUGGGUUGUCAUCAUGAUUCACAAGAGGAUAAGCACGAUGAGGAACUAGGAAGGAGAGGUUGAUACUUCAGAUAUGUUCUACGCUGAUAAUGAUGGUGGUAGUGGCUUACGAUUCAGAUGGAUGGGGUGGAGAAUAGCAUGAAUUAAUCUUCAAAUCCAACAAGGCAUCGCUUCACCAUGGAUGGCUACGACGGCGGUGGAAUGGAAGAGCUCAAUGUGUUCUGUAAGAUGGUUGUCUGGUAUGUGGAGUGAAGAUGCAUCUAGCAUCAACUUCUUGGUUAUUGAGGACACCUUUCCCUGGUGGUGCUACCGGCGCCCAAAUAUCUCAUUUCUCUUGAUCAUAUAGUGAAAGCAAUUCGCUCCGAUUAGCCCAAAUUCCCCAAAAUUAAUAUUUGAAAAGUUUUGUCUGAUCAAAUAUCUUAAAUAUUGACACGUACUUCCUUAGUACGGAAUUACUUGUCGCUCAAACGGAUGUGCUAGAUACAUCAAUUUGACUAACAAGUAACUCUGGGCGGAGGGAGUAUAUAUUUGACAAUGCCUAUUAUUUUUUAUUGCUCUUGCUGGGAAGGGAUAAGUGUUAUGAAUUGUUGAGCUUAAAGAUAAGCACAUAGAAGAUGGAAAAUAGAAUAUUACUUAUGUGUUGUUGUGCUAGAUUAUCUCCUGAAGCGAAAAGUUAACAAAUUCGAUGCAAUGAAGUCAAUAAGGGAGUAGGCGCUCAAGGGAACAAAGGGUAGAAGAAUAUAAGGAUGUAAAAACUAACCUGUUAGGAGCGGCUUCACAAAAACUAAGGUCUAAAAAUUUGGAUAAUGCACAUUAAUGGAUUUUUUUGUUUAUUCAUUUCAUUCCAAGAUAUAUUGAAAGACUUGCUUCGGUGGUGCCAGACCCCGUUAGCAGCAUUGCAAAGCUUUUGAUUUAGAGCAAAGCUAUACAACCAAGGAAACUGGAUUUAAAUAUUUUACUGCACCCUAAUCUUUAUCCUGACCCAAUAUAUUUGCAGAUAUCUAUGUCUUUCUGAUCUUUGUGGAGGCUGCUUAUCUCACAAUUUUUUUCUAUCCCGCCUAGGAAAAUAGAUUGUACAAUAUUAAUUCAGUCGAACAACACGAGUAUCAUGCCUGCCUACUGUAGUUAUUUUUGACAAUAUAAUCUGUUCACACAUCAUUACAAGGUUCCUUAAAACUACCUUUGUAUAUAUUUCAGACCAAGGUCUAAGAGUAUUCAGCCAAUCAUACUUUCAAACCAGCAGAGAAUGUGAAAGAGAAUAUUUAUAUUUAGGCUUACUAACUUUUAACGAACAAUGUGGUUCUCAUAUGAAUGUGUGUAAUUUUAUUCUAUUCAUCAGGGUGUAAAUCACAAGAGAACCGUGCAAUGAGAUUCUUGUUAGACUGGUGAGGAUAGUGCCAUAUUCUUAUAUUGUUUUGCUCAAUAAUAUUGAAGCGUUGGGCCCUUCUUGUUCUAUAUGUCCAUGGGGAAGAUGGACCUCAUGCCCCUGGGUGUAUGAAGAGGAGUAGGGAGAGUCAUCCACCGGAUAGGACCCCAUGUCCGGAGAGGGUUGUGCACUUGAGAAGAGACAAUCAGGGGAGGCCUACAUAGGAGAACAGUAUGUCUUGGCGCUGUGAAUACCCAACAUUGGUUCGACUUUCCACACAUCAGACAAGGGGUGGCACAUUACUAAGCACAGAGUCUCGCACAAUCAUUCAUUCAUGCCCACAUGUGGCGACAAGGUUCAUUAGCAGUCGCGCAAGGAGAUAUAUCAGUACAGAAAGAACUUGGUAAAACUGCUAAGGCAAAACUUUCCUUGACCAUGAAUUCAAGGCCAAAUUUUGCACCUUCUUUUCCUCCAAUUAUCCGUUCCAGUUUGAUUAGGAUGAGACGUGUUUCGGUUAGCAUGAUUGUUUGUAAAUGGUCACCACCCUCCCUGUACUUUUGUUGUUGUCACUUCAUUAAUUAUUUCCCCAAAAGAUAACAUUGUAGAAAUCAGACAAGGUCUUAUGUCAAGUCUCGGGGCGUAGAAUCUAUUUCAUAGAGGUCGGUUAUCCUAUCUUUGUAUUGUUUUCUCUUUGCAUGGAUGAAGGUAUUUUUCGAAGAAUCCUUCUUAUGCU